GAAGAAAAUACCUAAUAAAAAAUAUUAAAAA
rnacentral:piRNA from 1 species